CAUACACACACAUUGCCCACACUCACACAUACACUGCAAUUCUCACACACACACACUGCAACUGUUACACACACAUACUAUCCCACACAUACACUGCAUCCCUGACAUACACAGCCGCCCUCACACACACACUGCUCACACACUGUCCCCCUCACACGCACACACACACACACACACUGCAUCCCUUACACAUUGCACCACUCACACACCACUGAUCCUAUGCCCUACUACAGCCCCAUUUCCUCAGGUAAAUUGUCAAA